GUGCUUUGGGCGACGGCAGGCAGCUUAUAGGAUCCUCGGUGGCCUCGGGAUGUCGUCACCAUCUUUCCUGGGUGAUGCGGCUGGUGGGUGCCAGCAGCCAUGGAAAAGCGCUCUCGGUGCCCGCUCUGGCUCCUUCUGGAGGGGCCCCCACCCCAGGCUUUAGAGCGUUCGCUCCUUCUGGGGCGUCUGUCUGGGCUGCACAGACCCCAUCCUCACGGCACAUGGAACCUGCGUGCCCACGGCUCCGCAGACGUCACACCUCCUCCGGCCCCUGUUUCUAGGGAAAUAUGGGCACAACGUCGUUUGUCCAUGGGCAUAGUUUCCUUGGUUGCAUAACUGAUCUUGUGAGAUGCUGCCCUUGACCUUGGUUCCUGGCCUUGGUGUCCUGGACCUUGGUGUUCUUGACCUUGGUGUCCUGGACUUUAUUGUCCU